rnacentral:rRNA from 1 species
UACGAAGGGUGCAAGCGUUACUCGGAAUUACUGGGCGUAAAGCGUGCGUAGGUGGUUUGUUAAGUCUGAUGUGAAAGCCCUGGGCUCAACCUGGGAAUUGCAUUGGAUACUGGCAGGCUGGAGUGUGUCAGAGGAUGGUGGAAUUCCCGGUGUAGCGGUGAAAUGCGUAGAGAUCGGGAGGAACAUCAGUGGCGAAGGCGGCCAUCUGGGACAACACUGACGCUGAGGCACGAAAGCGUGGGGAGCAAACAGG